rnacentral:rRNA from 1 species
UACGGGGGGAGCAAGCGUUGUUCGGAUUUACUGGGCGUAAAGGGCGCGUAGGCGGCCACCGCAAGUCGACUGUGAAAUCUCCGGGCUUAACCCGGAAAGGUCAGCCGAUACUGCGGGGCUAGAGUGCAGAAGGGGCAACUGGAAUUCUCGGUGUAGCGGUGAAAUGCGUAGAUAUCGAGAGGAACACCUGCGGCGAAGGCGGGUUGCUGGGCUGAUACUGACGCUGAGGCGCGAAAGCUAGGGUAGCAAACGGG